rnacentral:snRNA from 1 species
GGACGUGAGGGUGAUCUGGCUGUGACAUCUGUCAUCCCACUGAUCACAGGCUUGAUCAGUGGAUCUGACUGGCUAGGCAAGUGUCCCCUUCCUCCCUUGUGGUUCUUCCCAAUGCUGCACUCUUGGUGCAAUGUGAAAUGGGAAGAAAAGGUCCAAAGGGGAAGGGGAAGUGGG